GAAACAGAAGGAAGGGGUGAUUCAGAAGGUUUUUUGGGAGGUGGAGCAGCAUAUUGAGGUGGUGGAGCAUAAAAAAUUGAACUUUAAGAGCAUAAAAAAUAGAAGCCAUGAACACUCUAAGCAUCCUUCCAAAAAGCCACUGCUCCUGGGUGGUGGAGCAGCAUAUUGAGGUGGUGCCAUUACAGGAAGCCCAUGGUAGUAUCCUACAUCAACAAAAACAUGAUUUCCACAA
rnacentral:lncRNA from 1 species